AUGAACGCUAGCGGGAGGCUUAACACAUGCAAGCCGAGGGGUAUAGGUAGCUUGCUACCUAGAGACCGGCGCACGGGUGCGUAACGCGUAUGCAACCUACCCUUAUCAAGAGGAUAGCCUUUCGAAAGGAAGAUUAAUACUCUAUAACAUAGGAUGUGGCAUCACAAACUAUUAAAAGAUUUAUUGGAUAAGGAUGGGCAUGCGUCAGAUUAGCUAGUUGGUAGGGUAACGGCCUACCAAGGCAAUGAUCUGUAGGGGGCCUGAGAGGGUGAUCCCCCACACUGGUACUGAGACACGGACCAGACUCCUACGGGAGGCAGCAGUGAGGAAUAUUGGACAAUGGGUGCAAGCCUGAUCCAGCCAUCCCGCGUGCAGGAAGACGGCCCUAUGGGUUGUAAACUGCUUUUAUACAGGAAGAAACCACGAUACGUGUAUUGUGCUGACGGUACUGUAUGAAUAAGCACCGGCUAACUCCGU
rnacentral:rRNA from 1 species